rnacentral:rRNA from 1 species
ACGAACGCUGGCGGCGUGCUUAACACAUGCCAGUCGAACGGAAAGGCCCUGCUUUUGUGGGGUGCUCGAGUGGCGAACGGGUGAGUAACACGUGAGUAACCUGCCCUUGACUUUGGGAUAACUUCAGGAAACUGGGGCUAAUACCGGAUAGGAGCUCCUGCUGCAUGGUGGGGGUUGGAAAGUUUCGGCGGUUGGGGAUGGACUCGCGGCUUAUCAGCUUGUUGGUGGGGUAGUGGCUUACCAAGGCUUUGACGGGUAGCCGGCCUGAGAGGGUGACCGGCCACAUUGGGACUGAGAUACGGCCCAGACUCCUACGGGAGGCAGCAGUGGGGAAUAUUGCACUAUGGGCGGAAGCCUGAUGCAGCAACGCCGCGUGCGGGAUGACGGCCUUCGGGUUGUAAACCGCUUUCGCCUGUGACGAAGCGUGAGUGACGGUAAUGGGUAAAGAAGCACCGGCUAACUACGUG